GUCCUCUGAUGUCGGAAGCUAAGCAGGGUCGGCCUGGUUAGUACGUGGAUGGGAGACCGCCUGGGAUACGUGCAUGGGAGACCGCCUGGGAUACUUGGAUAGGAGACCGCCUGGGAAUACCGGGUGCUGUAGGCUU